GCCCCAGCAGCCUAAUGACUAAGGCACUGGCUUCCUAAACUAGGGAUUGUGUGCUCAAGUCCCACCUGGGGUG
rnacentral:tRNA from 1 species